UACGGAGGGAGCUAGCGUUGUUCGGAAUUACUGGGCGUAAAGCGCGCGUAGGCGGCUUUGUAAGUUAGAGGUGAAAGCCCGGGGCUCAACCCCGGAAUUGCCUUUAAGACUGCUUCGCUUGAAUCCGGGAGAGGUGAGUGGAAUUCCGAGUGUAGAGGUGAAAUUCGUAGAUAUUAGGAAGAACACCAGUGGCGAAGGCGGCUCACUGGUCCGGUACUGACGCUGAGGUGCGAAAGCGUGGGGAGCAAACAGG
rnacentral:rRNA from 1 species